rnacentral:lncRNA from 1 species
CCAGGCAGGUUCGGCGGCCGAAAGUCCUUCGGCUGCCGAACCUGGUUUCUGCCAAAGGGCAGAAACUUGGUUCCCUUUGCACAAAAACCUCUCCUUCCCAUUCCAACAUGCAAAUAACUCAUUCAAAUCAUGCAAAUAUACAUACAUUGGCUCCUAGGGGCUUCAAACUAUCUAAAACCCCAACUACAACACACAACAACAACACAUUGCUCAAAAACACAACAUAAGCUCAUAAAC